rnacentral:rRNA from 1 species
AUUGAACGCUGGCGGCAUGCCUUACACAUGCAAGUCGAACGGCAGCGGACCUUCGGGUGCCGGCGAGUGGCGAACGGGUGAGUAAUAUAUCGGAACGUACCUUUCAGUGGGGGAUAACGUAGCGAAAGUUACGCUAAUACCGCAUAUUCUGUGAGCAGGAAAGCAGGGGAUCGCAAGACCUUGCGCUAAUUGAGCGGCCGAUAUCAGAUUAGCUAGUUGGUGAGGUAAAGGCUCACCAAGGCGACGAUCUGUAGCGGGUCUGAGAGGAUGAUCCGCCACACUGGAACUGAGACACGGUCCAGACUCCUACGGGAGGCAGCAGUGGGGAAUUUUGGACAAUGGGCGCAAGCCUGAUCCAGCCAUGCCGCGUGAGUGAAGAAGGCCUCGGUUGU